UGGCGCUCUUCCUGCUGCUUCUUCACCCAUUUUUCCCGUGCCCGCAAAAAUUGCUACCUGACAGCGCAGGCGCCAAAGGACGGUCGACCGUUAACAAGGACAAAAGAAAUUAAACUUUUUCGAUCACCGCGGGAACCUGCCGCGUCAGAAUCGAAGGUAAGUGGCGCGUCCGAAAUGGGACAAGAAUUAAGUCAGCAUCAAAUCUAUGUAGGACAAUUAAAAGAGGCUUUAAAGAUACGAGGAGUAAAGGUUAAAGGUAAUGAUUUGUUUAAAUUUUUUGAUUUUGUAAAAGAUACUUGCCCUU
rfam:Papio anubis isolate 1X1155 chromosome 5, whole genome shotgun sequence.